AGCAUGGUGGCUCAGUGGUUAGCACUGUUGCCUCACAGCAAGAAGGUCCUGGGUUCGAAUUCUAGCCGUCCCA
rnacentral:tRNA from 1 species